CACGUAGGGGGCAAGCGUUGUUCGGAAUUAUUGGGUGUAAAGGGCAUGUAGGCGGUUGUGCAAGCCUGGUGUGAAAAACCUCAGCUUAACUGAGGGGGCGCGCUGGGAACUGCAUGACUAGAGUUCGUAAGGGGAAGCUGGAAUUCCUGGUGUAGGGGUGAAAUCUGUAGAGAUCAGGAAGAACACCAAUGGCGUAGGCAAGCUUCUAGUACUGAACUGACGCUGAGAUGCGAAAGUGCGGGGAG
rnacentral:rRNA from 1 species